AACGACAUCGAAAGCUUGCUUUUGAUGGGCGUCGACCGGCGCACGGGUGAGUAACGCGUAUCCAACCUGCCCAUCACUUGGGGAUAACCUUGCGAAAGUAAGACUAAUACCCAAUGACGUCUCUAGAAGACAUCUGAAAGAGAUUAAAGAUUUAUCGGUGAUGGAUGGGGAUGCGUCUGAUUAGCUUGUUGGCGGGGUAACGGCCCACCAAGGCGACGAUCAGUAGGGGUUCUGAGAGGAAGGUCCCCCACAUUGGAACUGAGACACGGUCCAAACUCCUACGGGAGGCAGCAGUGAGGAAUAUUGGUCAAUGGGCGAGAGCCUGAACCAGCCAAGUAGCGUGCAGGAUGACGGCCCUAUGGGUUGUAAACUGCUUUUAUAAGGGAAUAAAGUGAGUCUCGUGAGGCUUUUUGCAUGUACCUUAUGAAUAAGGACCGGCUAAUUCCGUGCCAGCAGCCGCGGUAAUACGGAAGGUCCGGGCGUUAUCCGGAUUUAUUGGGUUUAAAGGGAGCGUAGGCCGGAGAUUAAGCGUGUUGUGAAAUGUAGACGCUCAACGUCUGCACUGCAGCGCGAACUGGUUUCCUUGAGUACGCACAAAGUGGGCGGAAUUCGUGGUGUAGCGGUGAAAUGCUUAGAUAUCACGAAGAACUCCGAUUGCGAAGGCAGCUCACUGGAGCGCAACUGACGCUGAAGCUCGAAAGUGCGGGUAUCGAACAGGAUUAGAUACCCUGGUAGUCCGCACGGUAAACGAUGGAUGCCCGCUGUUGGUCUGAAUAGGUCAGCGGCCAAGCGAAAGCAUUAAGCAUCCCACCUGGGGAGUACGCCGGCAACGGUGAAACUCAAAGGAAU
rnacentral:rRNA from 1 species